rnacentral:tRNA from 1 species
GGUGAGGUGGCUCAGUGGUUAAGAGCACUGACUGCUCUUCCAGAGGUCUUGAUUCAAUUCUCAGCAACCA